GAGAGACAACUUUUAACGGUGGAUCUCUUGGCUCGUGCAUCGAUGAAGAACGCAGCCAGCUGCGAUAAGUAGUGUGAAUUGCAGAACUCAGUGAAUCAUCGAAUCUUUGAACGCAAAUGGCGCUCUUGGGUUCUCCCAGGAGCAUGUCUGUCCGAGUGUCGG
rnacentral:rRNA from 1 species